rnacentral:rRNA from 1 species
GUGGGGAAUCUUGCGCAAUGGGCGAAAGCCUGACGCAGCCAUGCCGCGUGAAUGAUGAAGGUCUUAGGAUUGUAAAAUUCUUUCACCGGGGACGAUAAUGACGGUACCCGGAGAAGAAGCUCCGGCUAACUUCGUGCCAGCAGCCGCGGUAAUACGAAGGGGGCUAGCGUUGCUCGGAAUUACUGGGCGUAAAGGGCGCGUAGGCGGACAGCUUAGUCAGAGGUGAAAGCCCAGGGCUCAACCUUGGAAUUGCCUUUGAUACUGGCUGUCUUGAGUUUGGGAGAGGUGAGUGGAACUCCGAGUGUAUAGGUGAAAUUCGUAGAUAUUCGGAAGAACACCAGUGGCGAAGGCGACUCACUGGCCCAAUACUGACGCUGAGGCGCGAAAGCGUGGGGAGCAAACAGGAUUAGAUACCCUUGUAGUCC